UGGAAAUAGCUCCCGCGUAUAGACCGUACCCCAAACCGACACAGGUGGACUAGCAGAGUAUGCUGAGGCGCUUGAGAGAAGUAUGCUGAAGGAACUAGGCAAUUUGCCCUCGUAACUUCGGAAGAAGAGGGCCCAACCUACGCGCAAGCGUUGAUUGGGGGCACAGAGCAGGGGGUAGCGACUGUUUACUAAAAACACAGGACUCUGCGAAAUCCAAAGAUGACGUAUAGGGUCUGACGCCUGCCCGGUGCCGGAAGGUUAAGAGGAGAUGUGAAAGCGUCGAAUCGAAGCCCCGGUAAACGGCGGCCGUAACGAUAACGGUCCUAAGGUAGCGAAAUUCCUUGUCGGGUAAGUUCCGACCUGCACGAAAGGCGUAACGACUUCCCCACUGUCUCCAGCAUAUGCUCAGCGAAGUUGAAUUCCCCGUGAAGAUGCGGGGUACCCGCGGUCAGACGGAAAGACCCCGUGCACCUUUACUGCAGCUUUGCACUGGCAUUAGGGAUGGAUUGCGUAGGAUAGGUGGUAGGCUUUGAAGUCUAGGCUCUGGCUUGGAUGGAGCCACCCUUGAAAUACCACCCUGUUUGUUCCUGAUGUCUAACCGCGAUUCGAAACAGGGUCCGGAACCAUGCAUGGCGGGCAGUUUGACUGGGGCGGUCGCCUCCCAAAGAGUAACGGAGGCGCGCAAUGGUAAGCUCAGGCCGGUCGGAAAUCGGCUGUUGAGUGCAAUGGCACAAGCUUGCCUGACUGCAAGGCUGACAAGCCAAGCAGAGUCGAAAGACGGUCAUAGUGAUCCGGUGGUCCCGCGUGGAAGGGCCAUCGCUCAACGGAUAAAAGGUACGCCGGGGAUAACAGGCUGAUGAUCCCCAAGAGUCCAUAUCGACGGGAUCGUUUGGCACCUCGAUGUCGGCUCAUCACAUCCUGGGGCUGGAGCAGGUCCCAAGGGUAUGGCUGUUCGCCAUUUAAAGUGGUACGUGAGCUGGGUUUAGAACGUCGUGAGACAGUUCGGUCCCUAUCUGUCGUGGGUGUUCGAGACUUGAGAGGAUUUCUUCCUAGUACGAGAGGACCGGAAGGAACGCACCUCUGGUGGAUCGGUUGUCGCGCCAGCGGCACUGCCGAGUAGCUAUGUGCGGAAUAGAUAACCGCUGAAAGCAUCUAAGCGGGAAACUAACCUCAAAACCAGGUCUCGCUGAGAGCCGUGGAAGACUACCACGUUGAUAGGCUGGGCGUGUAAGCGCAGCAAUGCGUUGAGCUUACCAGUCCUAAUCGCCC
rnacentral:rRNA from 1 species